rnacentral:rRNA from 1 species
AGCGUAGACGGAGCAGCAAGUCUGAUGUGAAAGGCGGGGGCUCAACCCCCGGACUGCAUUGGGAACUGUUGAUCUUGAGUACCGGAGAGGUAAGCGGAAUUCCUAGUGUAGCGGUGAAAUGCGUAGAUAUUAGGAGGAACACCAGUGGCGAAGGCGGCUUACUGGACGGUAACUGACGUUGAGGCUCGAAAGCGUGGGGAAGCAAACA